UACGUAGGGUGCGAGCGUUGUCCGGAAUUACUGGGCGUAAAGAGCUCGUAGGCGGUUUGUCGCGUCGGCCGUGAAAUCUCCACGCUUAACGUGGAGCGUGCGGUCGAUACGGGCAGACUUGAGUUCGGUAGGGGAGACUGGAAUUCCUGGUGUAGCGGUGAAAUGCGCAGAGUAUCAGGAGGAACACCGGUGGCGAAGGCGGGUCUCUGGGCCGAUACUGACGCUGAGGAGCGAAAGCGUGGGGAGCGAACAGG
rnacentral:rRNA from 1 species